rnacentral:lncRNA from 1 species
CGGGAAUUAAGUCAAUCACGAACUCAACUUCCCGGUCCGGUGGCAAUCCCGGUAACUCCGCCGGAAACACAUCCGAAAACUCGCACGCAACCCGGAUACUUCCAAGGUCUGAGUGCUCCCCACGGCCAUCAACCAUGGUUGCCAAAUAGGCCUUACAUUCUCCUUUGAGCAUUCUCUUGGCCCUCACUGACGAUAUAGUCGUCGCGAAACGCGCACCUUUGCACGUCCGGUACACGAAUUCUUCUUGGUUAGGCUCACGAAAAGUGAUAACCUUACUUUCACAAUCUAUGACCGCAUAUUAUUUGGAGAGCCAAUUGGUCCCCAAAAUAACAUCGAAGCCCCACAUCCGGU